GGCGGGGGCGGGGCCUCUCUCCCGCUGUAAGGGUCAGGCCCUGGCCCGCAGCUUGAUCCCCCCUCCCUCGCUCGCUCCAGAGCCGCCCCGCCCCGCUUGGCUUCCAGGCGCUCGGCGUCCUCCCACCCGGAUCCAUUGCACACUGUGGCCAGGCGUCGAUUGGAGCCCCGUGGCUCCUGCCCAGCCAACCUGACCUCCUCCCUCAGUACCCCCGAAUAGAUAUUAAGUCUGACUUACUUCUCUCCAACUUCACCACGCUGAGCUGUCCAGUGUCCUCCAGCUCUCUGUUCUUACGGCUCACCAAUAAUCCAGUCUCUAUACGAGAGGGAGAUUUUACAAUGAACUCCACAGCGCCUUCUGAGUGAUUAUUUUAUGAGCAGCUGCAGAACCGCAGCAAUGUCACAGGAGUGAAGCAGGGACCAGCAGAGGCCAGAAGAGGGUAUUGGACCGCCUGGAGUUGGUGCCACUAAGGAUCCAAGUCUGUUCCCAGAAUGUUCCUGGCGGCACUGCAUAUUGGAGCCCAGCUGCAAACACCCAAGGAACCAUCAACAGUAAGAGGAAUAAUCAAGAAUAAUGCACAACUUACCAGACAUUUCAUGGUUGGAACCGUGGCUGGAGAGAUGACUCAGCCAUUAAGAGCACUUGAUCCAGUGACCGAGGACCUAAGUUGAGUUCCCAGCACCCAUGUUGGCCAGUUCACAAUUGACUGAAACUCCAGCUUCGAAGGAUCCAACACCCUAUUUGGCCUCCUCAGACACCUGCAUACAGCUGGUACACACGCACAGACACAUACACAUAAAUAAAAAUAAAAUUAAAAACAGACAAACAUGGAUAGAAGUUAAGUAUUUGAAGUGAAAGAGACCAGGAAAAAAUUAAAAAUUGAUCUAUUUUUCCCAAAUGAAAUGGGUUUGGGGACCUGAAUUUAAACCCUAAUUCUAUCAUUAAUCACCUGUAUAUUCUAGGACAUGUUUCUUGUCAAUGCCUCAGUUUUCUGGUCUCUAAAUGUUUAUCAAAAGAUUAAUUGAGAUUGAGUAAUGUAUGUCAAACACUUAGGUGAUACAUAAAAUUUUGUAGACUAUAAAGGUCAUGAUUAUGAUUUUUUGAGACACACCUCUCUGUAGCCCACACUGGCCUGGAACUUACUAUGUAGCUCAGGGCAGCUAUGCUAUCCUCAUGCCUCAGGCUCCUGAGUACUGAGUAUUGAGAUUCUGAGAUUGGGAUUGGGAUUCUUCAAAAGUAAGAAACACAAGUUAAGUGCUAAUCUAGGACGUAACCUGGUGCAUGGUAUGGUAAACUCUGCUGCUGAUUAUUAAUAAUAAAAAUUAACAAGAUACAGAAAACUAACUACAGAGUGCCCCCUCUUGCCUCUGGAGAACAGCGUAACAAAACAGAAGUGAAGCCAGUCCAUGCAGACCAGCCUGCACUUCACUGGAUUUGGAUCUUUCCUGACACCUGGGGAAGUCAGUAUUGAUUUAUGCAGUGGAGACAGGGAGCGGGCGCAUUAUAACCGUAUUGGAUGCAUACGGCAAAACAAGCCUUGGCCAGAAUUCCUCACCACUCAACUCUGGAGCAACUAUAGCAUCACCAGAAUGAUGUGCUGCCAGAAGCCUCAAAGUUAGGGUGGUACCGUUCUACCAGUUCACCACAGGAGAUGGUACCAAAACCAUGGGCAGGAGCCCACAGUGAGCAAAUUACAGGACAGAGAACUGGAGGUCCAGGCAAUCACAGGCCGAAUGUAGAAGUCUCUCUCAAUGUUGGGCACUGCUGAGAGAAAACUGGCUCCCCAGGGGUGUUCAUCAGUAAAUGCUAUGGUAGGGUAACAAAAUGGCUAUAAGGUUGCUAGAAAACUAAUAAAAUACCCAGAUAUUUGUUUUUCUAGCCCAAGGGUAUAAUGGUUCUUUCUUAAUACUUUUCUACUCAUUAUAUCUUUUUGGAGGCAGUUCUAUUUUUGUGUCUAAUGAGUUCCUGAAAAUUUAUAUGAAAAGUAUAAUACAUAAAAGUGAAACAAUAACCUUACCUAUUAUGUGAGGAAUUUUAUCCCCAAGAACUAAACAAAUUAUACAUUCUGCAGUACACAGUACACAUUAUGAAUAUUUUAAUCCUAGGUUAAAAAUAGAAACCCAAGUUCUCUGUCAUAUAUUUGAUUAUUUAAAAUGUAAAAAACAACAAGAGUAACAACAAUAACCAACCAAGUUAGAGUCUGUGGAGAUGGCUUAGUGGGUCAAGUGCUUGCUACGAAAAUACAUGGACCUGAAUUUGAAUCCCCAGCAUCCACUUACGAAGCUGGGCCCAGGUCACACAUGCCUGUAACCCAGAGUUAGGGAAGGGUAGGGGUUUGGUGUGUGAGGAGUAUAGGUGUGGAAAUAGGCUGGACAACCAAUCAAGCUGAAAUGGCAAGCUCUGGGUUCAGUGAGAGACCCCAUCUCAGAAAAAAAAAUUUAAAGACGAGAGCAGCAAUGUAGAUCCUUGAAGCCAUCUUGCUUCCGCGUGUUCUUGCACAGGCUAGCUAUCUGAUGUAGAAGCGAUAGUGAUAUCCAGGUAGAAGACUGAGGCAAAUGAAUAUAACAACUUCUAAAAUACACACACACACACACACACACACACACACACACACACACACACACACACUAAAAUUACUUAUCUAUCCUAAUUUCUUACCUUAAUUUCUGCUUGUUCUUAGUCAGCUUGAAGCACUAUUAUAAAUUUAGCUGACCUAGAUUCUGGUUGAACACAUGUGCAAGUCCUAAGAGUACAAGGACAGGACAAAAGGGGACCUGAAUCACACAUUGUGACCCUAAGUCUCCAAGCUUCUAGAGCAGCAAAGGCAGUCAUGUGCCUGACUUCAUCACCAUUACCACCAAGUAGCUGGCAGCAACAGCAGCUCCAGGCUUUGGGUUAAAACCCCAGCAGAAUAGUUCUUCAAGUAUGUGACCCUCUGAUGUAGAAGCGAUAGUGAUAUCCAGGUAGAAGACUGAGGCAAAUGAAUAUAACAACUUCUAAAAUGGACUCAGAAGAAGCAAAAAACACAUCAUCUUGGUUUAAAAAGUCACUGAAGCCCUACCAUAUUCAAGUAAACCAUCUUUAUUCUUCAGUGAGGGGAGAGGAAGGAGGAAGGGCAAGGCAACUCCAGGGGCCUGUUGUCCUGCGCCCAUGCUUUCUAAAGUAGCCUACCUUGGUCAAGUCCCCCAUGCACUCAUAUGCACACCACAGCCUCUCUUUGUAUUAGGCCAGAGACCUUUAGGGAAAAGCAAGUCUGGACAGCUGCAAAUGGAGCCCGUGCCAGAUAACUAAGCUUAUAAAAUAGAUGGCUAGGUUCACCAGACAUAAGACUGAGAAGGAGCAAGAAGAGACUGAGCAGGGGAAACAGAACAGAGUCUGAAAAAAUACUGACUUGUGAACGAGGCGGUAUGUAAGGCCAUCACACUCAUAAAACAAAAAUAGGACCAAUCACAACCCAGGGCUGCCAAAGAAAUAUAAUAGGAGCUACAGAUGACUAAAGACAGUUUUCUCCUCUUGUUUGCUUUGCAAACAAUAGUGGUAAGAUGCAGUAAAAACACACACAAGAACUUUAGGCAGGAAAAGAAGGGACCUUGCCAGAGCCAGGCUGUGGCUGGCUGGCGGUGCACCACGGGAUGCCUCAAAUUGCUCUCAUUAAGCUGCAAGUGUGUGGAAUUCCAGAUCUGGUGUGGGAAAGGCAUUUUAGGGUGGCAUAUGUAAUGUGUGAAAAUUGGGUUGUGUAAAAGUUAAAUAUGUGAAAGUUAAGAACCAUCUGUGUCCACAUUCCACUUGGCUUUCCCCAGGGCUGGACAAUAUAAAUCUUCCAUCCUAAACUCAGGGUCACCAUAACAAUGACUAAUGUCUGUAUACGACUUCACCACUUAGUAGUUUACAGAACACUCUUACUAAUUCUUCUACUUAAUCCUUACCUUGGAAGGCUACUACAUCUGUAGUUUACUCCUGAGCAAAGGGAGGGAACAGAAAUUUGAGUCUGUAAACUUACAGAAAAUAGAGGUUUUUCAGAAAGGCAAAUUUGCAAACUAUUUCCCAAAAGAUGAUUCACAGAUUGUUAAUCCUUUAGGAUAAAUCUGAGUAUGCAUUAUAAUUUCCUGGGAUCUUGUAAACAUUUACACACACACACACACACACACACACACACACACACACACACACACACACACACACGCCCCUACUCUAAUCUUCCAUUUCUGAUUUAGUAGGAGCCCAAUAACUUGAAUUUCUAAUAACUUCUUAAGUAACUGCUGGUGAGGUUCUAAGAUCCACAUAUCAAGAACUGUUAGCAUAGGAGUCUUUCUGGAGAAAGAGCAAGUUAAAUUUCAAUGUGCUUUCUGUGAAACAGAAAAAAAAAUAGCUUUGGUUCUCUAGAGAAGAGGAUAGGUGAUGUGAAAAUAAUUAUACUAGAAUAAUAGAAUAGGGUAUAACUUCAGUCUGGAAAACAGUUUUAAUGCUACAAGUUCAUCUUCUACAUUAAAAUGGAGACACCUGUAGUGUACUAGAGAUAACAAAGAUAAAAGAUAGUAUGUAUGACACAAUGAAAUAUUCUCGGGGUCUGGGAAAUGUUUGUGAUGUCCAAUCUAUCAACCACAGGUCUUAAGGAAGAGCUGUUUUUGAGGGAUUGGGAGGAGAGAGAACAGAACUGGGUGGAACACCCUCAGAAUUGUUGCAUUGACUGUCUCUGGAUUUGGGGCUUAGGGAUAAUUUUUAGUUCCUUCUUUUUAUUUCUAUAGUGAGUACAUCUUAUUUAUACAGCAAGUAAAUAAAUCUGUCUUUAAAAGGUUCUCAGAGACUUUUAGAACCUCCAUUUAAAGGGGAAAAUACCAUUUUUAAGGCCACUGUUAAAAUUCUAUCCCCUUUGUUUAAGCAAUCUCUCUGAUACAGUUACACAUUUCUUGUAACAUAAUUCAUAUAAAUGGCAAUUUGGGACUAUUUACUAGUGCAAAAAGGGGGAUUAUACUAGUCAAUCAACUAGUGUCGAAUUACCACAUUUCAUUGCAUAGAGGCUGUUAUUAAGGCAAGUCUAAACUAACCCCAUCCCUCUCCCCACUCCUCAUAAUAAUCUAGUUUCAUCUGUAUCCUUACUGCUCUUAUGAAUUUUGUUCCACUGUGUCUGAAUACUUCCCCGAAGAUGCAGGCCAGCCUCUGAUAUUCGUAUAUAAUAAAUGUUUCAUUUCAGAAAAAUAACUAAAACUUGUGCAUGUUGUGGUAUGUUGCCUACAACUUGUGUCUGUAGCAUAGGUUCAUACAGGUCUCAGUGUAGGGAAAAUAUUCUCCCUAGAGGAAGAAUGAAUCAAUGGUUGAAACAUUAGCUGCAUUUAAAUAAACAUUUCCCAGACAGACUAAAUAUAGUUGUUGUUGUUUUUUCUGUAGAUAGCUUAACUCAAACUGUUUAAAAUCAUUCUUAUUUUAUAAUAUAUUCAUAAACAUACCCCUUUGAAAAUUAAGCUAAGACUGUAUAUUUUGUAUACAUAAAUACCAAGUUCUGUGAGGUCUAUGAAAGUCUCCUAUCAUAAAAAUAGGCUAUAUCUAGACUUUUAGAGAUAAAGUCCGUACGCAUGAAUCAGUAAGAAACAAAUGACAGACAUUGUAGAUGAGUGGUUCCGUGGAGUUAGUUCAUUACACUGCACAAGGAGAGAAGCCAUCUUCAAAUUCAUGUGUACGUAUUUUUGUAUGUGUGUUCAUACAUAUGUAUGCCUGCAUGUACAUAAUUGUGUGCAUGUGUGUGGACGUCAGAGGUCAUCCUAAGAUUGUGUUCCUCGGAGCCUUCAACUUUGCUUCUUUUUUUUUAAAUCUCUCAUUGGUCUAGAGUGUCUCCACCAGCCCUGCAGAUCUUCCUGUCUCUGCUUCCCCAGUGCUGGGUUUAUAGUUCAAACUCUUUAAAUGUGACACUGACAGAUUUUGACAGUACAGUGAUCCCAACCAAGGUUGCAAAGUUUAUUAAACUGAAAUGAAUCUUGGUUCUGAGAAGUUUGCUUUAAGGACCACACCCCCUCGCCCUUCAGCAUGACCUCUCACCCUGCUUCUUCAUUUUGCAGCUACAAGCCUUUAGUAUACUAAUGAACUUGGAAAUAGACCAAGGUGAAGUAUAUGGCAGGUAGGAUGCUUUGGGCCAUAAAUAAGGCUCACAUGUACCAACUGAAAAGGUAACUUCACGUGUUACUGGAUAAGAAGUUCUGAGUGAGGGUGAGUGGAUACAGCAGGUUCAAGUGCCUACCCAAGAACCAGCAUUUUCUAAUCCGAUCAAUCUCUCUCCACCAUCAGACUGAUAGCAAAGUGAUGCUGCACUUCUCAAAUGUGAAGACAGUCCAGACAAGGAUAGGCAAAUGGACCCAAGGGCUUGACCUGGACCAUUGCCUGAUUUUAUAAGUAGGCUUUAUGGAAACAUAUGUAAGGCUAUUUCUUUUAUAGGGUAUCUGUGAAUGCAUUUGGAUCAUAACAGGUAUGAGUAGCUACAACAGAAUUUGAAAAUUCUCAGAGUCAGGUCAAGACAAGAUACAGCCAGCUCACUCACUGCUGCUCAUUGCUCAUAUUAUCUGUUACUGUUUCCAAGGGGCCAUUCAUCUCUCCCAGUAGUGACUCAUGCUUCCACAAAUGUUUAUUAACACCCCUCCUGCACCGUGUACACGGGCAAACAAGGAGCUUCUAACCUUCUACACCCUUACUUUGUAUUUGCUGUGGCAAUGAGAUUGCCUCUGGACUUUGUGUGAGUGGACUUUUCCUUUGCUUUCAUAAAAGGGAGGGGAGGUAGAGGAGAGAGGAGCAUGAGUAGAAAGAGAGAGAAAGAGAGAGAGAGAGAGAGAGAGAGAGAGAGAGAGAGAGAGAGAGAGAGAGAGAGAUCUGGACUGGAUAUAUGUUUCUCAAAAAAAAUGGUUAAAGUGACCCUGGGCAUUUCUAAACUCUUGUUCCUUGUUGUUCCUAAUCUUUGAACUAACCAUCCUCUAAUUUCUCUUCUAUUUCCACACUAAAGUUGUCCUCUUCAUGGGGCUCCCUUUCAUACUUAAUCUGAUUCUGAAACAAGGUAGAGAGAGGAGAAGAAAGACAUGGACUAUAUCCUGAGUCUCCUAUGAGACAGCGGUUGCACAGGGCGCCCUACUCACUUCCUGUCUUCACAUCUGAAGCUCUUGGUAUGCAAUGCAGGCUGGGUCAGCAGAGGGAGACUUUGAUUCAGAGUAACCAAGGAGAGCGCAGGUCCAGUGUGUUUGGCAGUCUUCUGACAGUCUUUUAUAAUUAGGCUCCUGCUAAAUGAGAUGCUCUUUCUAGUCCUUCCCUUUCCUAGUCUGCGGUCUUGGAAAUGUAAAACUAGAUUGAACUUAGAGGUGAUCCUGAAAAAUAAUUCACGUGAGGGGACACAUUCAUAAAAGGAGAUUAGGCAAAAUGUUCAUGCUGAUCACAAAGAAAAUGACAUAAUUUUCUUUGAAAUGCAAUGGAGAGAAAACCAGCAUUUACUGAGGAUUUUCUCUGUGCCAUCUAUAUUAACAUUCACAAUAUCCUGUGACUUAUUAUAAUUACUUGAUAAUAUAUCUCGCUUAUGAACAGUAAAAUCUGACCAUACAGAGUAAGAAGUAUGGUUUAAUAGGCCCAUAGAAGCUUUUGAUAUUUGUUUGGCUUCUCAGAGAAAUAUAAACGAAGUACCCUUUAUGGGUAUCACUACAUUUAAGUAAAGUAGUAGCUCAGGGUGGCCUCAAACUUGGGAUACUCCUGCUCCCACAUCCCAAGUUGCCGGGAUUGCAGGCAGGUGCCACUGUGGUUGGUCUUUUUGUUCUGUGUGUAGUAUCUCAAAAGAUGACUGCAUCAGCUCCAGGAUUUACACAUCUCUCAGAGGGAGGAAAAAGAUAGGGCUAGCGUAUCAGUCUUUAUUUCAUUAGCAAAACAGAAACUUUCCCCCAAACCUCCUCAUCAGAUUUGUAUUUAAGUACCAGUGGUUGCAAUGGUCACACAGAUACCUACUAAGAAAAGAAGGGAUAACUAGCACUGUCAAGCUCACCAGAGACUAGAUGUGUACAGACAACACUCAAAUCUGACCCACUGCCUGGGUUUUGUAUACUCUUGCGACACAACCAGCAUCCAUUCACUUGGACAUUGUUUCCAGCUGUUUUCACACUAUAGCGGCAGAGCUGUGACAGACUGCAGGGUUCCAAGUUCAAUGCGUGUACAAUCUGGCCCUUUACAGAAAAGUUUGCCAACUCCUGAUUAUUCUAAUCAUGAGCCGGUAUCUAGGGUGAGGCAUUUUUCUCUCCCAAACCAAACUGGGAGAGAUUGUGAUAGAAAAAAAAAUAAAAGAACGCUGUCAGAUAGGUCAGUCAUUUGCAGCGGUUGUUACUUCUGUUCAGAAAGACUAAGUAAACGGCAGACGAGCAGAAGUUGAAUAAAUGUAGUCUUGAGCUCAAACUCAAUGCUUUCUGACAUCACAUCUGCUAUGGCUUGGAUAUAAUAUUAAAGGCUCGUGUGCUGAAGGCUUGGUCUGCAGCUGGUGUGGCAUUGUUGACAUUGGAUUAUGGAGGUGCUAACCUCAACAAUGAACUAAUCAUCUAUGAAGUCAUUUUUACCGGGCUAUUAGGAGGUGGGUACAGGAUGAAGGAAAUAGGUCACAAGAGGCACAUUUUGAAGAACAUAUGUUGCCUAUUGACCAUUCCCGUCUCUUUCUCUGCCCCCUGUCCACCAUGAGGUGCCACAUUGAUCUCCUUCCUUCUCUCCACAUUGGUGUUUGGCCUCACCAUGCACAGGGGCCAGAAGCAAUGGAACAAAGUGGCCCUGACACAGAGGUUGGAAAUUAUGAGCCACGCUAAAGCCUUCCUCCCUCCUGCUGCUCUCACUGUGAUAAAGCGCUAACUAAAAGUGCUCUUUUGACUAUAUCAUGUUUGGGGAAAUUUUUUUUCAUCUGCAAAGGAGCUGUCAGAUCUGCCUUGUAAUUCAGUUAAGCCAUUAAGUGAGUUGUGCAGAAGAUAUAAAAGCAAUCCAUCUAAAUAGUUUUGCAAAAACGAUUAACCAUUUACUUUUAAAUUGUAUGUCAGUAUUUAUUUCCCAUACUGUUCUCUCUCCCAUACAUGCAUACACUAGAGAGCUCACCUGAGCCAACUUGGGAUUUUUUUUUCUCCUCUCUCUUACUUCGCAAACACCUGAACACACAGUAAAGACUCAAUAAAAGUGUUAUGUUCCAUCCCAUUGUUAUGUCAUAUCAAGAAAAACAUGUGAUUUAGGUUUUCCUGUUUCUUCCACACAAGGCUGUACCCAUGCAUUCUGCACUUGACAUAUGUAUGACGGCUGGAUGGCAUCUGACCACCCAUCAGCUGGUCCCUUGCAACUGAAAAUGAUUGUGGUUGCAGUUGGAAGGUAACACGGUUGUGUAGUCAUCUGUGGCCUGGCUGAUCAUAUCGUCUUAUAUGAUGGCCACAGCACCUCUGUAGGUUGCAGGUCACAGCCUUGUCUUGCUUCCAUGCCUUCAUUCAGUCUGCAACCUUGAAAGGGUAUCACAGGUGGUCAGAGAGCUGAGAGGGAUGCAUUUUGGAACAAAGGCAAAGUUGACAAAGUAGGUGGCUUUAGAAAACCUGUUUUUCUUUCCUUUUUCUCCUCUAACCUUUCUUCAUAAGUCAGUCUGAGGGGAUCUGGAAAUACCAUUUGUCCACUUCCUGUCUUCCGUUCCAUACUUGAGAAGCUUCCUAAAAAAGCUCUCUGCCUCUCAUGCAUGUCUUUGUCUACUCCUCUGCCUAAGGGAUGCUUUUUUCUUAGGAAGGAAUGUUCUAAAACACCUUUUGUCACUGGGAUAACCCUUCUAAAGUUAUGCUUUAUAGCUGGCUCCCACCAAAAAGCCUUCCUUGGUGGUUGUAAGUGAUCCUAAUAUCAUAGCAGUUGCGUCCUGUGAGUUGGACCUUAUUGUCAGCCUGUCUGUCCCUUGUAUGAUUCUAUUAGGAAAACCUGCGAGGAGCCACCUGGUGCUUAUCCUGUCCUCAAUAAAUAAUUAGCAAAUGUAAGACUAAGGAAGGGGUGUAGAAAGCAUAGGGCCCCCCAAGAGCCUCUAAUAGGUCAGGCCAUGGAUUUCUAACUCACAUUUGAUUUCCUACCGCUUUCUAGGAGGCUUUAUUUGCUCCUCCUGCCUUGGAAACUGUGAAGCAGAAUCAGAGCCUCUGUUUGGAGAUCUUAUCUCCACCGCUCCCCACUGGGUGUCCUUUCUUCCUCUAUCUCUCCAGCCUGGCAUUCCUCCUCCAUUCCUGUUAAGUGCUGGAAUCUGUCAUCCUGGAUGGAGUGCAAAAGCUACAGUGUAAUCUGACUUU